AGCGGCGGACGGGUGAGUAAUGCUUAGGAAUUUGCCUUAAUGUGGGGGACAACAGUUGGAAACGACUGCUAAUACCGCAUAAUGUCUACGGACCAAAGAAGGGGAUCUUCGGACCUUUCGCAUUAAGAUAAGCCUAAGUGGGAUUAGCUAGUUGGUGGGGUAACGGCUCACCAAGGCCACGAUCCCUAGCUGGUCUGAGAGGAUGAUCAGCCACACUGGGACUGAGACACGGCCCAGACUCCUACGGGAGGCAGCAGUGGGGAAUAUUGCACAAUGGGGGAAACCCUGAUGCAGCCAUGCCGCGUGUAUGAAGAAGGCCUUCGGGUUGUAAAGUACUUUCAGUAGUGAGGAAGAUAUCAGUGUUAAUACCACUGGUAUUUGACGUUAGCUACAGAAGAAGCUCCGGCUAACUCCGUGCCAGCAGCCGCGGUAAUACGGAGGGAGCGAGCGUUAAUCGGAAUUACUGGGCGUAAAGCGCAUGUAGGUGGUGAGUUAAGUCAGAUGUGAAAGCCCGGAGCUUAACUUCGGACGGUCAUUUGAAACUGACUCACUAGAGUAUUGUAGAGGGGAGUAGAAUUUCAGGUGUAGCGGUGAAAUGCGUAGAUAUCUGAAGGAAUACCGGUGGCGAAGGCGACUUCCUGGCCAAAUACUGACACUGAGAUGCGAAAGCGUGGGUAGCAAACAGGAUUAGAUACUCCUGGUAGUCUACGUCGUAAACGAUGUCUACUUGA
rnacentral:rRNA from 1 species